GUUUACAGCCAUGCUACCCUGAACAAGCCCAAUCCCAUCUGAUCUCAGAGCUAAGCAGCGUCAGGCCUGGUUAGUACUUGGAUGAGAGACCACCUAGGAAGACCAGGUGUUUAAAUU
ensembl:rRNA 5S_rRNA 5S ribosomal RNA